rnacentral:rRNA from 1 species
GAUGAACGCUGGCGGCGUGCCUAAUACAUGCAAGUCGAGCGAACAGACGAGGAGCUCGCUCCUCUGACGUUAGCGGCGGACGGGUGAGUAACACGUGGAUAACCUACCUAUAAGACUGGGAUAACUUCGGGAAACCGGAGCUAAUACCGGAAAAUAUAUUGAACCGCAUGGUUCAAUAGUGAAAGACGGUUUUGCUGUGACUUAGAGAUGGAUCCGCGCCGCUUUAGUUAUGUGGUAAGGUAACGGCUUACCAAGGCAGCGAUGCGUAGCCGACCUGAGAGGGUGAUCGGCCACGCUGGAACUGAGCCACGGUCCAGACUCCUACGGGAGGCAGCAGUAGGGAAUCUUGCGCAAUGGGCGAAAGCUUGACGGAGCAACGCCGCGUGAGUGAUGAAGGUCUUCGGAUCGUAAAACUCUGUUAUUAGGGAAGACCAAAUGUGUAAGUAACUAUGCACGUCUUGACGGUACCUAAUCAGAAAGCCACGGCUAACUACGUG